AUUGAACGCUGGCGGCAGGCCUAACACAUGCAAGUCGAGCGGAUGAAGGGAGCUUGCUCCUGGAUUCAGCGGCGGACGGGUGAGUAAUGCCUAGGAAUCUGCCUGGUAGUGGGUGAUAACGUCCGGAAACGGGCGCUAAUACCGCAUACGUCCUGAUGGAGAAAGUGGGGGAGCUUCGGACCUCACGCUAUCAGAUGAGCCUAGGUCGGAUUAGCUAGUUGGUGGGGUAAAGGCCUACCAAGGCGACGAUCCGUAACUGGUCUGAGAGGAUGAUCAGUCACACUGGAACUGAGACACGGUCCAGACUCCUACGGGAGGCAGCAGUGGGGAAUAUUGGACAAUGGGCGAAAGCCUGAUCCAGCCAUGCCGCGUGUGUGAAGAAGGUCUUCGGAUUGUAAAGCACUUUAAGUUGGGAGGAAGGGCAGUAAGUUAAUACCUUGCUGUUUUGACGUUACCAACAGAAUAAGCACCGGCUAACUUCGUG
rnacentral:rRNA from 1 species